rnacentral:misc_RNA from 1 species
UUUUGAGAUAAAAAUAUAUAAAAAAAAACGAAUAAAUAAGAACACUUGCAAUGCCCUGCUUCAUGCGUGAGAAGAGUCUUUCACACCGCCCUCGGCGUGAUAAAGCACCCGAACGAGAUGUAUUGGCGCCCAAGCCAGUGCAUCCUCGUGCCUUGAGAUUCCAUGGACUCUUUGGUAUGUCCUAUGUGCGCCAGCAUGUGAUGGUUGAUGAUCGAUGGACGCCCAACUCCUUGACGGAGGAAUUCGGGGGCAUGUCCCAAUUGUUAGCCCGUCGUGCGGUCUUCAAGCGGCACGAGACAAAGGCCAAUCGGCAGCGCUACUUUCUAGAAAGUAAACGGUUGAAAUUACAGUGUCGCGAUGGACGGUCUAAGCUUCAGAAAAUACUUACCGGAGAUAAUACCCACAAGAUUCGAAAUUUCUUGACCAACCACAGGGACAUGCAGCGUCUGUACCAAAGAAUGCCCAUACAUCUGGUCGUGGACAAUAUCAAUCAGCGUACAUUUGUCCUGCGCAAGGAGCGGGAUCGUCUGGAGUGUCGAUUGGUUCAACUAAAAAGUCGAUACCGAGAUAUGCUGAUGGAACGCGCCAUGCUGGAAAAUCGCAUUAAGUAUCAAAAUGAAUAUGUGUUGGAUGAGGAGAUCAAAUCGCGAGGUUUCAUCAAAAGGAUUGAGAAUUCGAACGUGCGCCUGAAGGCCAUCAAGGCCAUCAACUCGACAUAUAUGAAAAUGAUACAAGUGCUACGUCACGAUGCUAUCUUUUAUGAGCCAAUUCUGCGUUCUCUUGAUGGUGACAUGGAGGAUCAGGCGAAUUUCAUAAAGCACAUACUCUAUUUGGGUAUGCCGGCCAUAGCCAAGUUUAAGGAGCUUAACUACGAGUACCGACAGUUGGAGGAUAAGUCUCGGAAAAGUCUUCAGGCCAAGCUACAUAUGUUGUCGUCAUUUAAAAUCGCAAAGCCACUCGGUUCUUUGCUGGUAACGCGUGGCAAGGCAAAAGAGGAGAUCCCACCCAGCGCAGAUCCCAAGCGCUAUUUGCGGGAAACGCGCAGCAUGCUGGUGCUCAAGCUAAUGCUAAAGUCUGUCGAGAAGACCAUUAAGGAGGUAAAGUUUGUGACACUUUGCUCGCAGGCGCGGGAGAUUUAUCCACGAGCCAGGUGGACAACAAUGAGAAGCUCCAUCGCAUCAUUGAGUGCGAUAUGUUGGCUCAUGAGAUGCUCGAGACGAAAAUGAAAUGCGCCAAUGUGUUAAAGGGUGUUCUGGUGAACAAUCUAUCCGAGGAGGAGAUCAAUCGACUUGAGCGCAUUAAGGAUUUGCGCAAAAUGCUUGCAACCGAAACGGAGUACGAGCAGUCCACUUUAACCUAUCUGAAAAAUCGCGGCG